CCUACGGGCGGCAGCAGUGAGGAAUAUUGGUCAAUGGGCGCGAGCCUGAACCAGCCAAGUCGCGUGAGGGAUGACGGCCCUACGGGUUGUAAACCUCUUUUGCCGGGGAGCAACGGGCGCCACGUGUGGCCAGACGAGAGUACCGUACGAAUAAGCAUCGGCUAACUCCGUGCCAGCAGCCGCGGUAAUACGGGGGAUGCAAGCGUUAUCCGGAUUUAUUGGGUUUAAAGGGUGCGUAGGCUGUGAGGUAAGUCAGCGGUGAAAUGCCCCCGCUCAACGGGGUGAAGUGCCAUUGAUACUGCCUUGCUGGAAUGCGGAUGCCGUGGGAGGAAUAUGUGGUGUAGCGGUGAAAUGCUUAGAUAUCACGAAGAACUCCGAUUGCGAAGGCAGCUUACUAAACUGCCACUGACAUUGAUGCUCGAAAGUGUGGGUAUCAAACAGGAUUAGAUACCCGAGUAGUC
rnacentral:rRNA from 1 species